ACACCGCCCGUCACACCAUGAGAGUUUGUAACACCCAAAGCCGGUGGGGUAACCUUUUGGAGCCAGCCGUCUAAGGUGGGACAGAUGAUUGGGGUGAAGUCGUAACAAGGUACC
rnacentral:rRNA from 1 species